GGUGACCUCGAUCAGGUAGGCCCAAAU
rnacentral:rRNA from 1 species